UUUGCAAAAAGCAGAGGCCUAAUCCUGAGGUCACCAAACUGGACACCCUCAAUGCCCUGGCAUAAAAGUUAUGAACAGAAUCAGUGACAAAUGGCAGCCCUGGCAGAAUCCAAUCCUCACCGGAAACGAGUCCAACUUACUGCCGACAAUGCAGACCAAGCUCUGACACCGGUUGUACAGGUAAGAAAAAGCCUUUUCAGUACAAAAUACCCUGCCUCGUGUUGUGAUGUCAUUCGACACCAGUUUUCAUGCCAGUGGAAAACCAACACCUUGAAGCACUGUAUUUUUGGUACCUUCUUGAUAUACCAAAAGUAUAGUACCCAGUGCGGUGAACUGGGCAGCUUUACAGCGCUGUACAUUCCCUAUGUGCUGUACGUCCUCCCCUAUGCUUCUAUGUACCGGCUUCUUCUGUUACUUCCAGGUCAAAGCCCGGGAUGUGGAGCAUGUGCAGAGCGCCUAGGCCAGUUUGAGUCCGAUUAAACGUCUACAUGCAGGAAUAAAUCGACUCCCAAUCACAUUAUCUGGGUGUCUUAGUCCGACUUAGAGAAAUUCGAUUUAGUACGAUUUCAAUGGGACUAACAGAAUCAUUUUCUUAGUGUACAUGUAAACAUACUGGAUGUGUUUAAGAUGUAAUUAAUCAGUGGCAUGCUUGGUGCCCCGGGCAAAAUCGGAGCCAAAUUCCUCACUGUAGUCCCUCCCCCCACCCAACCCAACCAUUGUUAACCGGGGGAGAGGCAAAAGUUAAAGUCAUCAGCCAGGAGUGGUUUGAUGCCUGUGGUAUGAUAAGUCAGUGUCCCCUCGGAACAUGUCACCCAAGGCAGUUGACCUUUUUGCCCUUGAUAGAAUCUGCAACUGCUGGGAGGCCUCAAGUCUGACUUGUUAAAUUUAGAAUCAUGAUUGUAUUCUUCAGUCAUAUGAUUAGAAAUAAUUUUGUUCAAGGGGAAGGUGUUUGCAACUUCUUGCUAAUUAUGAGGGAUGUCAUAGUACUAAUGUUAUGUUCAACAUGAUCUCAAAUACAUGGCCACUUUAUUAGGUACAACUAGCUAAUACCAGCUAGCUUCCAGACCAUAUACAAAUUAUACAAAUUAUGUGCUCAGAGAUUCCUUUCCGCACACUUGCACUAUUGUACUAAGCUGUUAUUUUUGCACUUAUGACCUUCCUGUUACCUGUAAUGAGCCAUUCUGGCCAUUCUCCCCUGACCACUCUCAUCGAUAAGGUGUUUUUGCCCACAGAACUGUGAGUAACUGGAUGUUUUUCUUCACUGUAGUGUGUGAAAAUCCCAGGAGAGUGGCUGUUUCUGUGAUGCUGAGACCACCAUUUAAGCAUCCCAUCCGGGGUGUACCCCAGGCUGGUGUCCUUUCCUGGCUGGGGUAGGAUCACCCUGGACUACCCGUCCCCCCCCCCACAUCCCAGUUCAAGAUAAAUAGGCAGAAAAUGGAUGGAUGAAUGGAUUCUUCAUACUGAUAUGUAAAUUUUGCCACAAGAAUUCUCCCUAAAUGGUCUGUGUUCUUAUUGUUAAAUAAUUUCUAAGGAUAUCAUACUUUUCCUCUAUUAAUACUCACUGCUUCUCUAUUAACACACAGUUAAUAGAAUUUCUUUAUGCGAGUUUAAUAAAGGCAGCUGGGGGCAUGGUUCACCUGUUUCUCAUGUGAUUGCACUAUAAAUCGCUUGUUCCAUUUCAUCCUGAUGCGCACCCCUGUGUCUGAGACCCCCACCAUCCUCACCAAAAGUGAAAAUGCCGUCCCUAAUAAAACUCUCAUUUCUCCCCCAA